CCUACGGGAGGCAGCAGUGAGGAAUAUUGGUCAAUGGGCGAGAGCCUGAACCAGCCAAGUCGCGUGAGGGAGUACUGCCCUAUGGGUUGUAAACCUCUUUUGUCGGGGAGCAAAAGCCGGACGUUUCCGGCUGUGAGAGUACCCGAAGAAAACGCAUCGGCUAACUCCGUGCCAGCAGCCGCGGUAAUACGGAGGAUGCGAGCGUUAUCCGGAUUUAUUGGGUUUAAAGGGUGCGCAGGCGGAUUUUUAAGUCAGCGGUAAAAUCGUGGGGCUCAACCCCAUCCAGCCGUUGAAACUGGGGAUCUAGAGUGUGCGAGAGGUAUGCGGAAUGCGUGGUGUAGCGGUGAAAUGCAUAGAUAUCACGCAGAACCCCGAUUGCGAAGGCAGCAUACCGGUGCACAACUGACGCUCAGGCACGAAAGCGUGGGUAUCGAACAGGAUUAGAUACCCGAGUAGUC
rnacentral:rRNA from 1 species